UACGGAGGGUGCAAGCGUUAUCCGGAAUCACUGGGUUUAAAGGGUGCGUAGGCGGUUUUGUAAGUCAGUCGUGAAAUCGCUGGGCUUAACCCAUGCAAUUGCGAUUGAUACUGUGAGACUUGAAUGGGGUUUAGGCAGGCGGAAUGUGGCAUGUAGCGGUGAGAUGCAUAGAUAUGCCAUAGAAAACCGAUUGCGAAGGCAGCCUGCUGGGCCUUUAUUGACGCUGAGGCACGAAAGCGUGGGGAGCAAACAGG
rnacentral:rRNA from 1 species